AUAGGGCGGAGGCUCCAAUCCCGCCGAGACACGUCAGACCGGCCGCCCGCCCCGCCCGCUGCGGGGUCCCUACAGCGCCCGGGAGCGGACCAACUCUUUAAGAGUUCUGCGGCCUGACAGGGGGCGAGGAGUUGGUCUCGGGCUGUGAAAAAGUUAAUGUGGAGAGGCAAGCAGUCAAACUCAGCUCCUCAUGCUUCUGAAGCAAGCAUAAAUAUGAACUGAGCCAUCUCCUCAGAGCACCAACUGUAUUGUCUACUGCUAAACCAGAACCACACAAAGAGGAAAGAUGAAGACGAUUCAUGACUCCAAACCAGAAAGCCAAACGGAACAGCAGAUCAGCAACAGAGGAUAAGGGUGUCCUUUACUGCAACUGCAAGCAUGUCAUGUGGGAUGAAUUUCAGUGGCAAACUUCAGAAUUUGAUAAAGAGGCUAUCUAACUAGCAAGUGAAGAAUGGCGUGCAAGGGC
rnacentral:lncRNA from 1 species